GUCUGAGGGGCCUGACAGGUUUUGCUGACCCUUCCUGGUCUCCACUGUGUUCCUGCUAGUGUGCACAUUCAGCCUGCCCCAGGCCCUGCACACAAAGCCCUCUGGAUGGAUUCAGCUUGAGGAUUGGGAUGCUCUGGAACACCCUGAACAAGAUUCAGUCAGUUCACACACUUUCCAUCCCCUUGGUCCCUGGAGGCUGCCUCAGAAGACCCCUUUCUUUUCUUUUUUGGAACCAGGGAUCGAACUUGGGACCUUGCACUUGUGAGGUAGGUGGUGAAACCAUUGCGCUAAAUCCCUGGCCUAGAAGAUCCCUUUCUUGCAGGCCUUGGACUUUAGGGCUCAGUGCCUUCUAAGACCUUUCUUUCCCUUUGGGGUCAAAUGCA